CGAGAAUUGAAUAGAUACAGUGGUCAGCUGCAUAUCUUUCGAGUUUAAGUUAUCGUUAUAAAGCAUCACGAUGACUUUGGUAAUAGAUGUCGUUAAACGGUCCACCAAACCACUCUUACUCCUCCUCCGAAAAAUUCUACCGGACCUGGAACACGAAAUUAUCCGAUAUAGCAUUACCUUCGACGCUCCUGAUAAGUUCAAAAAAUGAUCUUUUCGUCUUUCGCUUAUCAGAAAAGAUCCGAAAUCUGUAAAGUUAUUAUCGAUUAUAACUGAAGCCUCUUUAAAGUAAACUCACACUCGAUAAUAUGAAAAUUAAUGGCAAUGUCGAUGUAGACCGAAUUUGUCUCUGCAAAUAUCUCCUCGCGCUGUUGAAUAAGGAGUAGUUGCUGGAAAUAAUGAAACAUUGCUUAAGACAUCGUAAAACACGUUCCUUUAUUCAAUCGAGAAGAAUAUUGUUAUUAACUAUGAUGACAAAAAUGUUGGUGAACGUAACAUUUGCGUCAAUUUUUAUCUUUGUAUGCGGCGGUAAUGGCACCGGCACGUUUCAUUUUUGAUAAGUUGCGCAGUAAACCCGAAGAAAACGAAUAAACGAUAUCGAUAUAGACAUGUAGAAAUAAAGAACGUUGGAAAGAAAACACAAAUUUCACGAUU
rnacentral:lncRNA from 1 species